rnacentral:rRNA from 1 species
UGCGGUUAAAAAGCUCGUAGUUGGAUUUCUGUCGAAGACGGUCGGUCCGCUCUAUGAGCGUGUAUCUGAUUCGGCUUUGGCAUCCUCGUGGGGGACGUAACUGUGCUUGAUUGCAUGGUGCGGAAUUCACGACUUUUACUUUGAGGAAAUUAGAGUGUUCACGGCAGGCAAGCGCCUUGAAUAUAUUAGCAUGGAAUAAUAAUAUAGGGCUUUGGUUCUAUUUUGUUGGUUUCUAGGACUAAAGUAAUGAUUAAUAGGGAUAAUUGGGGGCAUUUGUAUUAACGCGUCAGAGGUGGAAUUCUUGGAUUGCGUUACGACAAACUACUGCGAAAGCAUUUGCCAAGGAUGUUUUCAUUGAUCAAGAACGAAAGUAUGGGGAUCGAAGAUGAUUAGAUACCGCCGUAGUCUAUACCAUAAACUAUGCCGACUAGAGAUUGGAGGUCGUUCUUUCCAUGACUCCUUCAGCACCUUAUGAGAAAUCAAAGUCUUUGGGUUCCGGGGGGAGUAUGGUCGCAAGGCUGAAACUUAAAGGAAUUGACGGAAGGGCACCACCAGGAGUGGAGCCUGCGGCUUAAUUUGACUCAACACGGGAAAACUCACCAGGUCCAGACAUAG